GUGCCAGCCGCCGCGGUAAUACCGGCAGCCCGAGUGAUGGCCGCUGUUAUUGGGCCUAAAGCGUCCGUAGCUGGCCGCACAAGUCCGUCGGGAAAUCCGCCCGCUCAACGGGCGGCCGUCCGGCGGAACCUGUGUGGCUUGGGACCGGGAGGCCUGAGGGGUACGAUCGGGGUAGGAGUGAAAUCCUGUAAUCCCGCUCGGACCGCCGAUGGCGAAAGCACGUCGCGAAGACGGAUCCGACAGUGAGGGACGAAAGCUAGGGUCUCGAACCGGAUUAGAAACCCGAGUAGUCC
rnacentral:rRNA from 1 species